GAUUUAAGCUUAUUGGCAGGUCUGGACGAAACAAUUAAUAUAUGUUUAAGAACUGUUGCCAUUUCUUCAACUCGGCCUGUAACCGCCAGAAAACUAAAGAAGAGGAAGAAUUUUUCGUCAACUCGUUUUCAUCCCGCUUGACGCAGUCUCUGCGCAUGCGCAAUGUUAAAUGGACGCAGGUGUUCGGAAUCGAGACGACGACGACGAACUUCAGAUGUGUGGCAGCACAACUAGGUGCUCAUUGAUUGGCAGUGUCGGUUCUGCUUUGCCAAAAGGAGUGAAAUCCAGGAGGAGGAGGAGGUGGUCCAGUCGGAACAUUUUCUAUGCAGAUUUAAAAUCGAAAUUCAACUUCAUUUACCACUUUUGAGUCGCAUAUCUGGCAAAAACCUGCAAACCGAAUUUUCAAGAACUGAACAGAUUCACUCAACGGUUCAUUCAUAUCUUCAAGGCCAAAGGGGGAGACAUUGGAUGUAAGCUUAAGAAGAUUCUGCAACAGAUU